rnacentral:rRNA from 1 species
GUUGUGGAGAGUUUGAUCCUGGCUCAGGAUAAACGCUGGCGGCGUGCUUUACCAAUGCGAGUCGGACGCGCCGCCCCACGGGGCGGUGAGUGGCGGCCGGGUGCGUAACACGUGGGUGACCUGCCCGGGCGUGGGGGAUACCCGCCCGAAAGGGCGGCUAAUACCGCAUGGGGCGCCCCCCGCUGGGGGGGCGGCAAAGCUGGCCCUGUGACGGGGGCAGCGCGCGCGGAGGGGCCCGCGGCCUAUCAGCUGGCCGGUGGGGUAACGGCCCACCGGGGCGAUGACGGGUAGCCGGUCUGAGAGGACGGACGGCCACACUGGGACUGGGACAUGGUCCAGAGCCCUACGGGGUUUAGCAUGGAGGAAUCUUGCGCAACGGCCGCCAAGGCCGGCGCAGCAACGCCGCGUGGGGGAGGAAGGCCCUCGGGUCGUAAACCCCUGUUGCUCGGGAAGAAGUACCGCCGGGGGGAGCCCGGCGGGGAGACGGUACCGGGCGAGGAAGCCCCGGCUAACUACGUGCCAGCAGCCGCGGUAAUACGUAGGGGGCGAGCGUUAUCCGGAUUCAUUGGGCGUAAAGGGCGCGUAGGCGGCCCCCAGCAGUGGCGCGUGGAAUCUCCCCGCUCACCGGGGUGGGGCCGCGCCAGACGGGGGGGCUGGAGGCGGGCAGAGGGCCGCGGAACGGGCGGAGUAGGGGUGAAAUCCGUAGAGACCGCCCGGAACACCGGUGGCGGAGGCGGCGGCCUGGGCCCGUCCUGACGCUGAGGCGCGAAAGCGUGGGGAGCGAACGGAAUUAGAUACUCCGGUAGUCCACGCCCUAAACGAUGGCCACUCGGUGUCGGGGGUAUCGACCCCCCCGGUGCCCCAGCGAACGCGGUAAGUGGCCCGCCUGGGGACUACGGCCGCAAGGCUAAAACUCAAAGGAAUUGACGGGGCCCCGCACAAGCAGCGGAGCGUGUGGAUUAAUUCGAUGCAACGCGCAGAACCUUACCUGGGCUUGACAUGCGCCUGGUAGCGACCCGAAAGGGGAGCGACCCGCGAGGGAGGGCGCGCAGGUGCUGCAUGGCUGUCGUCAGCUCGUGCCGUGAGGUGUUGGGUUAAGUCCCGCAACGAGCGCAACCCCCGCCCCCAGUUGCGGU